GACGAACGCUGGCGGCGUGCCUAAUACAUGCAAGUCGAACGCUUCUUUCCUCCCGAGUGCUUGCACUCAAUUGGAAAGAGGAGUGGCGGACGGGUGAGUAACACGUGGGUAACCUACCCAUCAGAGGGGGAUAACACUUGGAAACAGGUGCUAAUACCGCAUAACAGUUUAUGCCGCAUGGCAUAAGAGUGAAAGGCGCUUUCGGGUGUCGCUGAUGGAUGGACCCGCGGUGCAUUAGCUAGUUGGUGAGGUAACGGCUCACCAAGGCCACGAUGCAUAGCCGACCUGAGAGGGUGAUCGGCCACACUGGGACUGAGACACGGCCCAGACUCCUACGGGAGGCAGCAGUAGGGAAUCUUCGGCAAUGGACGAAAGUCUGACCGAGCAACGCCGCGUGAGUGAAGAAGGUUUUCGGAUCGUAAAACUCUGUUGUUAGAGAAGAACAAGGACGUUAGUAACUGAACGUCCCCUGACGGUAUCUAACCAGAAAGCUACGGCUAACUACGUG
rnacentral:rRNA from 1 species